rnacentral:tRNA from 1 species
GCUGGGGAUUUGGCUCAGUGGUAGAGCACUUGCCUAACAAGCUCAAGGCCCUGGGUUCGGGUCCUCAGCUCUGGAA